AAGACUAUACUUUCAGGGAUCAUUUCUGUAGUUGGUCACUAGAGGAGAGUGAUCUUUCCUGAUCGGCGUCACAAACCACGAGGAGGAGAGAGGUGCUCUCUUCUGAGCGCGAAGCGGGCGGGCGACGCUGUUUGUGCAGGAGCCUCUUGCCAUUGAUGACCGUUCCCAGUUCUGCUUUUUGCAGAGGUGGGAGGGAGAGAGCACUGGCUGAGUGGU